GCAACCAGGUCAUAGGAGAGUAUUACUUCUACCUCGCCUUCGAAAACGCCUUGUGUGCCGAUUACGUGACAGAAAAGCUGUACUUGGCGUUGACGCGUGACGUGGUGCCUGUGGUGUUUGGGGGUGCCGACUACCAUUUUUAUGUUCCGCCAAAUUCAGUGAUCAAUGCCCUGGACUUUGCCAGCCCUAAGCUGCUGGCGAACUUUCUGUUGGCAACCGCAAACAAUAGAACUGCUUAUAACAGUUACUUCGCGUGGAGGGAGGACUACGAAGUAGAUAUUGGGUUUCCGUUUCGUCCACACAUCUGUGAUCUGUGCGCCAAACUGCACCAACAUCCAAUGGUGCACCAAAA